GUUUCGUUACUUUUUUAUAUUUCAAUUAGGUGGCACUCUCCAUAUCUAUGUAAAGAGUUAUCAGAAGGACAAGAUCAAGGACUCAUGUUGAAGGUCAAGCAAGUUUGGAUUGUAGCUGUUGACUUAGGGCAGAGUAUCAGAAUAGUGCAAUGGAAGAAUUAUAGCCGUGACUAUAUAAACGACAGUGUUUAUAUUUAAAACAGCUAUACUACCUGUACUUUAGGAUUAGUUUAAUUCAUAGUUAUUGUUUAUAUACAUGUUUAUUAAUC